GUGCUUCUUUUAGCGUCACAUACACUAAAAUAGAACUCAUGCAGAAAGGAAUAGCAUGACCUUUGUGCAAGGAUUACAUACAAAUUGAUGAAGUGCUCCAUAUUCUU
ensembl:snRNA U6 U6 spliceosomal RNA